rnacentral:rRNA from 1 species
AAGAAUAAAUUCGGGGGCUCCGGGCCCGACCUCCCACCCUUUGUGUACCUACCUCUGUUGCUUUGGCGGGCCGCGGUCCCCCGCGGCCGCCCCCCCUCCCCGGGGGGUGGCUAGUGCCCGCCAGAGGACCAUCAAACUCCAGUCAGUGAACGUCGCAGUCUGAAAAAACAUUCAAUAAACUAAAACUUUCAACAACGGAUCUCUUGGUUCUGGCAUCGAUGAAGAACGCAGCGAAAUGCGAUAAGUAAUGUGAAUUGCAGAAUUCAGUGAAUCAUCGAAUCUUUGAACGCACAUUGCGCCCCUUGGUAUUCCGAGGGGCAUGCCUGUUCGAGCGUCAUUACAACCCUCAAGCUCUGCUUGGUAUUGGGCACCGCCCUUCUUCGGGCGCGCCUCAAAGACCUCGGCGGUGGCUGUCUUGCCUCAAGCGUAGUAGAAUACACCUCGCUUCGGAGCGCAGGGCGUCGCCCGCCGGACGAACCUUCUGAACUUUUCUCAAGGUUGACCUCGGAUCAGGUAGGGAUACCCGCUGAACUUAAGCAUAUCAAUAUGCCGGAAGAAACAU